rnacentral:lncRNA from 1 species
ACCAAGAGUGAUCAACUGACCCGGGCAGCCAGAAGAGAUGAUAGGGAUACAUAUUCUUAACGGUGAUAGAGUGGUUUCAUAGAACAAAAUAGGCUGUUCCUGCCCGAGGGAACAUGGACUUCAGUGGAAGAGACACUCAGAAGAGAGCUGCGAAACAAGUAAGAAUUUCAGAUUGUGCUCAGUUCUUUGAAGAAAAACACAUGGGAUAAGUGAGAGACGUGUGACUCUGGGGGCAGAGGCUGUGUGGUCAGGAGGGGGCCCGUCAGUCAAAAGGCCUUGGUUGCCAAGCCAUUGAAACUCCUUCUGCGUCAUGUUGGGCAGAUUACAAUGUAGAUGAUUCCGUAGCUGGGCUGCAGCACCGUCCCUGGAGAGCACAUGACAGGAAUGCAUGUUGGGCAGGAUGUGAAGUUGAGCCCUGGGCUGAAGCAAACUUAACCCCACCUGCGGACAGGACACUUCUGAAGCCGCUGCCUCGGCUUCCACCAGAAGCUGCAUCUCUGUGCUGCUAGAGAUGGAGAGCCCUGUCUUAGCUGGUUCAGUCGGGGCUGAGUAUUCAGCAGCUAAAGCUGCAUGUACUGUGACCUUCUGAGCCAAAGGCAGGGAAAGAUGCUCUCUAAUCCAUCUGGAAGUGAUUUUGGUAUGUGGUAUGUAAAGUAUUUUAAAAAAACAUAUAGUUUGAGUAAAACUGUUGGUGGUAGGCUAAAAGCUCCUUAAAAACAGGAAGCAUGACUGAAUCACUCUGGUUUCCUCCACUUUCCCAGACAGAAGAGUCACCAACGCAGCCUCCUUGCUCAGGCUGCGCUGCCCCAACUACAGUCAGGGACCCCCCCGCCUUCCCUCUGCUGGGAGGCACCAGCCACCUGUGACUAGUGUCCUGACACCUCCCAUGUCCCCAGCAGACACCUGCCACAGUUGCGUUCGGGGAGAACCCGAGCAAUUAGCCAGCAGCGCCCCCUGGCGCCUCUUUCACCGCAAGUGUUCGGCUCUCAACUUGUUCAACCACCCUCCACCCGCUCCACGGGCAACUUUUCCGGGAAGGCGCCUCCAAAGACCUCUGUGAGUAGCGUAGGCUGCUCUGCUCUGACAACCUCUUCGGGGUAAAUUUCUUUUCCAUUUGAACAGCUUCUCCUUAGUUAAGGAGAAACCGUUAUUGCCCGGUUGCUUUUUCGUCUUUUGGAUGGAGAGAAGCAGAGGAAUUCUGGGCGGAGGCCAACGAUUAGCUGCAACAUCUACUGAUCACUUCCAUGAAGUCUUUGAGCCUUUGUAUAAAUAAAACACCAGCCGGGGGCUCCUUCUGCUCCCAUUGAUGCCCGAGUGCCAACUACAGGUUUGACUCUGAGACCCUCCUUAAAAAAUUAGGAAAAAAAAUUUUUAAAACGUUUUUAAAUUGGAUUUUUAUUGCCUAAGGAGGGAUCUGUAAAAUACGUAGAGUGGGAAGAAUGCAGAUAAAUAAGACCUGAAAGUUGUCCUCAAAUAUAUCAAAGCCAUACUGGAUAGUGGACCUGCUGGAGAAUAGAAAAAUAAA